UGUUUUGUGGCUUAGUUGAUUAAAGCACCGCACUACAGGUACGGAGUCGUGGGUUCGAAUCACACCAAAACAA
rnacentral:tRNA from 1 species